AAGGGACACAGACUGAUCCAUCAGGGCGGGGUGGAUGAGUGGGAGGGGGUGGUAGACAUUUCUGCAAGGCAUGACUGGAAUAAAGGAGGAGGAGGUGUGCGUCCGUGUGUGUGUGUGUUCUGAAGGGAAGGGAGGCAGAAGAGGGUAAAGAGGGGAGGAUGUUUGCCCGUCCUGGUGGAUUGUGCAGGAGACUGCUCCCAAAUCCAAUUAAUUCCUGCUGGAUGCGUUCAUUUGUCUCGUGCAUCUGACGAGGAAGACACAGAGAGGGACCCCUAAGGAGGCCGGGGUCGUCUUCUUUCCAACUUUCCCUCUGACAUCCCGGGCCUGGUAAUGAGAAAGAGACGAGGCGCGGGCACCGACGACGACACGUCGGCCCCCGCCGCAUGUCUGCCAUAAGCCUCGCAUCAGGCUUGAAGGAGCAUGUGAGGCGUCCCUGUUUUCUAAAGUCCUACGAGUCGGUGGAAAUAAAGGGACGCGGACGCCACGCUGCCACUCUGACCCACAUAACAACACGCGCGUCAGCGUUCGGUGCCCUUAACCUUCAUGCCUGAUUACUGCAGUUUGUUUAUGUCCUGGCUGAACCUGAGUGAGUCUGACAAGAUCGAGUCAAGGUGUCUGCUUGGAAUAGAGGCCAAAAAGGAAAACAGCUCCCACACAACACGUGUGCGUGCCUGUGUGUGUGCUCAUUCCAGAGGAAAAUAACAGGUUUACUAUAAAUUAAGUAAUUAAAAAGAAGAGUUGAUUUGAAGUCAAUUCAGUUUUUAACGACACUGUGCUUCAAGAUUCUAAUCACACCUUGUGGCUAUACACUCACUGGAAACAUUAUUAAAUACAAGGUGCAAAGUAAA